CCUUUCUGUGUUCUUUUAUUUUUUCACGUGAUAAAUAAAUCACUCCCCCAUUCAUUUGGUUUCUCUCUCCAACGCUUACAGUAAUACACUCACGCAGCAUUAAACGUAUCUCGAUUCCCAUCAUCAGCCCUUUCCCCAAUUCAAUUUUCCCUAACCUAAAUCAAUCAAGCGUGAUUCUUCUCCACCAUCUCCCCAGAACUGGCGAUCCAAAUAUUUGGUUUUAUUCGAUUGCAGCGCCCCUCACCCUUACCCGAGGUCGCCAUUUAUUUGAUUGGAGUCGUCCCUCACCCUUACCCGAUGCCCUAAUAAAGCUACUGCUAUUUGAACAUCUGAUUCUGAUACAAACAGUUUUUUUCUAAGUGAAAUCAUGUCCAUGAUGAGUUGUAUUGAUGGAUUUUUGAAGAGAUUUGACUCUUAAAGCUAGACAUAUUCCUGGCUAAAUUUAUCAAUUGUAAUAACAGACGAUAGGUUCAAAGAUUUUGUAUGUAUGAAAGGGCACAAAAGUAUGGAGAGUGUAAGCGGAUCUUGAACCAUUGAUUUGAGGAGAAAUGAAAGGAUCAAAUCUUGAAAAUUAAGGUUUCAUGUUUUCAGUUGUCUUAGAAUGUUAUCAUUUCGGUAAACUACCAGGAUCAAACAGUUUUGGGAUAACAUUGAUAAUGAGCAAUUUGACUGUGGUUGAUGCUAAAGUCCUAGAAUGGAAUAAACAAUGAGUUAAUGCAGCAGAUAGUUUUUCCUAAUAUUUCAAGAAAGAUGAUGUGCUGGGGCUGAACAAAUGGUCUGUGGCUCCUUUCCCUAUUCCUGUGGUCCAGUGGUCUGUGGCUCUGGAGAUGUGAAGAAGCUUAGUGGUUCUUUGUGGAUCAUAUAACCAUGGAAUUGCAUUUUACUUUGCACCCCUAUUUUGAAAUAAGUGCAUCCAUAUGAGGAUAAACAUGCUUAGAUUUGAAAUUGUUAGAUUUAGUUCUUGGUUAUGCUAUGUACAUUUAUUUUUUGUCAAAUUAUAAGGUAAAAAUCCCACAGGGAUUGUAAAUGUUAAUAAUUUCAUGUUAAUCUCUUUUUUAAAUUAACUAGUACUUUUACCCGUGCGAUGCACGGGGGAUAUUCA